rnacentral:rRNA from 1 species
GACGAACGCUGGCGGCGUGCUUAACACAUGCAAGUCGAGCGGUAAGGCCCUUUCGGGGGUACACGAGCGGCGAACGGGUGAGUAACACGUGGGUGACCUGCCCUCAGCUCUGGGAUAAGGCCUGGGAAACCGGGUCUAAUACCGGAUAUGACUCCAUGACGCAUGUUGUGGGGUGGAAAGCCUUGUGCGGCUGAGGAUGGGCCCGCGGCCUAUCAGCUUGUUGGUGGGGUGAUGGCCUACCAAGGCGACGACGGGUAGCCGGCCUGAGAGGGCGACCGGCCACACUGGGACUGAGACACGGCCCAGACUCCUACGGGAGGCAGCAGUGGGGAAUCUUGCGCAAUGGGCGAAAGCCUGACGCAGCGACGCCGCGUGAGGGAUGACGGCCU